UUUUUUUUUUUUUUUUCCAAAUUUCACUUCAUCUCCUAUGACUCGCUUGCAAUUUGGUGACAAAGCAUCUCCUUCUACACCUUUUUGCUUCUUCAAAUGGGUUUGCUUCUUCUUUAUUUGAUGGGUAACAGUUGAUUUCUAUUCUUUUUCAUUUCAUUAGCUUUACCCUUUUUUUGCUUUGGAUACGGAUUUUCCCAUGCCGAAUAGUGAAGCCACUAUUCUUCUUUUGAGCAUGCUCUUGCUAAUCAUUUCAUCUUUCACGCUUUUAAUACUAUGUUUGGUAUGUUUCUAUAAUUGUUUUUUACCAUUUGACAUUUUAAUUUCUUCUUAAAAUUUUUAUUAGUGUUUUUGUUUUGUGUUUCUGUUGUUGGGUUUUUGGUUUUCUUCUUUCAAUUCUCGGUAGUCGGUAUGUCAUGCAUUUACCUUU
rnacentral:misc_RNA from 1 species